rnacentral:rRNA from 1 species
AUUGAACGCUGGCGGCAGGCCUAACCCAUGCAAGUCGAACGAGUGGCGGACGGGUGAGUAAUGUCUGGGGAACUGCCCGAUGGAGGGGGAUAACUAAUGGAAACGGUAGCUAAUACCGCAUACCAUCGGAGGUGACCAGAUGGGAUUAGCUUGUAGGUGAGGUAACGGCUCACCUAGGCGACGAUCCCUAGCUGGUCUGAGAGGAUGCCCAGCCACAGUGGAACUGAGACACGGUCCAGAUCCCUACGGGAGGCAGCAGUGGGGAAUUUUGCAGAAUGGUCGAAAGCCUGAGGCAGCCAUGCCGCGUGUAUGAAGAAGGCCUUCGGGUUGUAAAGUACUUUCAUCGGGGAGGCGUUACCCGCAGAAGAAGCACCGGCUAACUCCGUGCCAGCAGCCGCGGUAAUUC